AUUUCAACGAACCUUGAAUGCUUUAAGUAUAUUCCCGUCGGAUGCCCUGCCCACCCGGGACAACUGAAUGAGCUGACACACAGAAGGGGACGACAGAGGAUGAGAUGGUUGGAUGGCAUCACCGACUCAAUGGACAUGAGUUUGAGUAAACUCUGGGAGUUGGCGACAGACAGGGAGGCCUGGCGUGCUGCAGUCCAUGAGGUCUCAGAGUCGGACACGACUGAGCGACUGAACUGAGCUGACACAGCUGACAAAGUUCCAGACAUGACCA
ensembl:lncRNA